rnacentral:rRNA from 1 species
AUUGAACGCUGGCGGCAGGCUUAACACAUGCAAGUCGAGCGGGGAAAGGUAGCUUGCUACCUGACCUAGCGGCGGACGGGUGAGUAAUGCUUAGGAAUCUGCCUAUUAGUGGGGGACAACGUUCCGAAAGGAACGCUAAUACCGCAUACGUCCUACGGGAGAAAGCAGGGGAUCUUCGGACCUUGCGCUAAUAGAUGAGCCUAAGUCGGAUUAGCUAGUUGGUGGGGUAAAGGCCUACCAAGGCGACGAUCUGUAGCGGGUCUGAGAGGAUGAUCCGCCACACUGGGACUGAGACACGGCCCAGACUCCUACGGGAGGCAGCAGUGGGGAAUAUUGGACAAUGGGCGGAAGCCUGAUCCAGCCAUGCCGCGUGUGUGAAGAAGGCCUUUUGGUUGUAAAGCACUUUAAGCGAGGAGGAGGCUCCUUUAGUUAAUACCUAAAGUGAGUGGACGUUACUCGCAGAAUAAGCACCGGCUAACUCUGUGCCAGCCGCCGCAGUAA